GACGAACGCUGGCGGCGUGCUUAACACAUGCAAGUCGAACGGAAAGGCCCUGCCUUUGUGGGGUGCUCGAGUGGCGAACGGGUGAGUAACACGUGAGUAACCUGCCCCUGACUUUGGGAUAACUUCAGGAAACUGGGUCUAAUACCGGAUAGGAGCUCCGUCUGCAUGGUGGGGUUCGGAAAGUUUCGGCGGUUGGGGAUGGACUCGCGGCUUAUCAGCUUGUUGGUGGGGUAGUGGCUCACCAAGGCUAUGACGGGUAGCCGGCCUGAGAGGGUGACCGGCCACAUUGGGACUGAGACACGGCCCAGACUCCUACGGGAGGCAGCAGUGGGGAAUAUUGCACAAUGGGCGGAAGCCUGAUGCAGCAACGCCGCGUGCGGGAUGACGGCCUUCGGGUUGUAAACCGCUUUCGCCUGUGACGAAGCGAAAGUGACGGUAACGGGUGAAGAAGCACCGGCUAACUACGUG
rnacentral:rRNA from 1 species